GACGAACGCUGGCGGCGUGCUUAACACAUGCAAGUCGAACGGUAAGGCCCUUCGGGGUACACGAGUGGCGAACGGGUGAGUAACACGUGGGUGAUCUGCCCUGCACUUCGGGAUAAGCCUGGGAAACUGGGUCUAAUACCGGAUAGGACUCCGGACUGCAUGGUCUGGGGUGGAAAGCUUUUGCGGUGUGGGAUGGGCCCGCGGCCUAUCAGCUUGUUGGGGGGGUGAUGGCCUACCAAGGCGACGACGGGUGGCCGGCCUGAGAGGGUGACCGGCCACACUGGGACUGAGAUACGGCCCAGACUCCUACGGGAGGCAGCAGUGGGGAAUAUUGCACAAUGGGCGCAAGCCUGAUGCAGCGACGCCGCGUGAGGGAUGACGGCCUUCGGGUUGUAAACCUCUUUCAGCACAGACGAAGCGCAAGUGACGGUAUGUGCAGAAGAAGGACCGGCCAACUACGUGCCAGCAGCCGCCGUAA
rnacentral:rRNA from 1 species